rnacentral:ncRNA from 1 species
AACUGGGGAGCCAAUGAAAUUGGCUGAGAGUGAGGUGUGGUCCUCUUACUCAUGGAACCUGUGCGGUUAGUACCGGCGGAGGGAGUUUC